CCUUUGCGAACUGUUGAGAAAAGCACAAGAAGGUGAGCUGAAAAAGGAAAAUAUCAGGAGAAGGAGGCCUCCAUUUAUUUUACCAAGUAGAAAAUAGGGUUUCCAAUUAUAACAACUCUUUUUGAAAUCACCCAGAAAUAACGAUCUAUAUUUAUACAUAUGGGACCAUAUCUGUGAUCCCCUUUAUCAGAUGGCGCCACUGGAAUGGAGGACCUAAAGGUCAACAACAAAAUUCCAUUACAGUCUAUUUUUAGUCAUUUGUUAACUUCUGCUUCCUAUCUUUUGACCUCUUACAGCUCCACUUAGUGCUCAUCUUCUCAGCGCUUUUGCGUUCCAUUGGAGGAGCAUAUUCACACUAAAAAAAGACCACUUUCUAGAUUGAGGACAUGCGUCACUCUAGCAUCUGAGGAUCCCACCUUCACUUUGUGAGAGCACAGUCCAGAGAGAAGCAUCCAGGCUGGGGGACAAUGCCGAGCUGGGAGAGCUGUGCUAAAGUGACGAAAGAAGAUGGACGAGAGAUACCCAAAGAAGCCUCCAGGAAAACACAUCGCUUGCUCCAGGAGUGUGUUCCCAGAGUGUCGACACAGCUCCAGCGUUUCUCACAGCCUCUGCUGCCAGGAAAGGAUAAAACACCACCCAUAUUCAGGAACAAAGACAGAGUGAACCCUCCUUCAAGUCUUAUUGCUAGAUGGCACCUGUUGCUAAAAUAGCAGCUGGUAAGCAUUUUGUUUUGUUCAAAAUAACAACAACAACAGCAACAAUAACAAAACCAAUAUAUUACAGGAAGCAACAUCACAAUGGCAAUAAGGAAUCACAAGGCUAAAUAUAUAACAGGAAGACAUACAGAAUUUUAGUAAUGAAAGACAAGGAAGAAGCUGCUAGAGCCUGGAGGAAAAAACUGAAGUGCUGAUUAGAAAUCGCUCAGCUUGCAUUAAAAAAGAGAAACAGGAGGAGAAGGGAGAGGAGGAGAAAUAGAGAGGGAGUGGGAGAGAG